rnacentral:rRNA from 1 species
UACAGAGGUCUCAAGCGUUGUUCGGAUUCAUUGGGCGUAAAGGGCGCGUAGGCGGCUUUGCAAGUGACGGGUGAAAUCCCUCGGCUUAACCGAGGAACUGCCUGUCAGACUGCAUGGCUUGAGACCAGGAGAGGUGAGUGGAAUUCCCAGUGUAGCGGUGAAAUGCGUAGAUAUUGGGAGGAACACCAGUGGCGAAGGCGGCUCACUGGACUGGUACUGACGCUGAUGCGCGAAAGCGUGGGGAGCAAACAGG